CCUACGGGUGGCAGCAGUGAGGAAUAUUGGUCAAUGGGCGCUAGCCUGAACCAGCCAAGUAGCGUGAAGGCUGACUGCCCUACGGGUUGUAAACUUCUUUUAUAAAGGAAUAAAGUGAGGCAUGUGUGCCUUUUUGUAUGUACUUUACGAAGAAGGAUCGGCUAACUCAGUGCAAGCAGCCGCGGUAAUACGUAGGUGGCGAGCGUUGCCCGGAUUUAACGGGUGGAAAGGGCGUGUAGCCGGGAAGGCAAGUCAGAUGUGAAAUCGGUGGGCUCAACCUCCAAAUUGCAUUUGAAACUGUUUUUCUUGAGUACUGGAGAGGCAGACGGAAUUCCGUGUGUAGGAGUGAAAUGCGUAGAUAUAAGGAGGAACACCAGUGGCGAAGGCGAUCUGCUGGACAACAACUGACGGUGAGGCGCGAAAGCGUGGGGAGCAAACAGGAUUAGAUACCCUUGUAGUC
rnacentral:rRNA from 1 species